GACGAACGCUGGCGGCGUGCUUAACACAUGCAAGUCGAACGGAAAGGCCCUGCUUUUGUGGGGUGCUCGAGUGGCGAACGGGUGAGUAACACGUGAGUAACCUGCCCUUGACUUUGGGAUAACUUCAGGAAACUGGGGCUAAUACCGGAUAGGAGCUCCUGCUGCAUGGGGGGGGUUGGAAAGUUUCGGCGGUUGGGGAUGGACUGGCGGCUUAUCAGCUGGUUGGGGGGGUAGUGGCUUACCAAGGCUUUGACGGGUAGCCGGCCUGAGAGGGUGACCGGCGACAUUGGGACUGAGGUAGGGCCCAGACUCCUACAGGAGGCAGCAGUGGGGAAUAUUGCACAAUGGGCGGAAGCCUGAUGCAGCGACGCCGGGUGCGGGAUGACGGCUUUCGGGUUGUAAACCGCUUUAGCUUGUGACGAAGCGUGAGUGACGGUAAUGGGUAAAGAAGCACCGGCUAACUACGUG
rnacentral:rRNA from 1 species